UCCUAUCCCCCACUGCCAGCCCUCCCCUGCUGGAGUUUGUGAAUUUCAAGGUCAGCUGAAAGUCAAACUUUACCAUGUUGGUGAUGAAAUGCAAGCAGAUGUGGCUGGUUUGGCUGAUGGCGGCCACACCCUGAGAACCGUGCUCAGUCCUGUGGGUGAUGCCUGGCAAAAUUAACAAAGUCUGAUCGCUUACAACCCUGGGUUUCCAUCUCAAGAGAUUCAGAUUUCAAACCUCGUGCAGAGAAGUGACGUAUAGAAAGUGCCCUUUAAAUUGAGGAGUUGUCCAAAACGGGGCUGGCUUUCAAAGCACAUUUUUGGAUCAGAAAUCCCGGAAUAAGAAAAUUCUGAACGCAGAACAAAGCACAAGAGCCUGCCACAACAGCACAUGGAGGCUUGCCUGGUCUAUUUACUCUUCAGAGGUGGGACCCCCCCCCGGGGUUCACAGACACAACUGAUCACACAUGGCACCCCGGGGGCUCGGCAACGUGCAGCACCCACAGGACCUACUGACCGCCCCCUCUCCCGCUGACUACCUGCUAGUGUGGCUUGUGUGCUAGGAGAAGUACGUCCAAGAUGGAACAGCAGGGACACACCCAGGAGAAGGUUCCAGACCUUCCUGCCCCACUGCUUCCCUACCACCCUGGGCUGGCUGGAGCAAGACUGGCCGGCUAGCCUGGGUUCUGGAGCACAAGCCCUUUUCCUCACUCUGUUUGCCGAGCCUCCCCAAGCUUUGGCAGCUCAUUAUUUCUCCACUGGCGGGUGAGUGGGAGAGGCCGCGCCAAAGGGACGGCCAAUUACCAGGGCCUCGCCGCCACGCACCGCCUUGGAUGCGUUUUCUCAAAUGGCGAAGCCCUCUUCGGGGAGAGGCAAUUUGUGGGGAGCUCAGGGCAGCAUAAUUUAUGGGCCCCCUCUCUCCUGGUUAGGAAAGAGGUGGCUGUGGCUUAAUUUAAUUAGCUGGGUUCGGCUGAGCACAUGACCAGGAUGGGCCUGGAAUCCUGGUAAACGAGGCACAUUUCUUUUGUGAGUAAAGCACAGCCGAAGAAGAAAA